rnacentral:ribozyme from 1 species
CCAUUUUGGCUCAAGGCUUUUCUCCAGCCUUGCUCGAGUCUCAUGCAAUGGUAAUUUGGCAUU